UACGUAGGGGGCUAGCGUUGUCCGGAAUCAUUGGGCGUAAGGCGCGCGUAGGCGGCCCGGUAAGUCCGCUGUGAAAGUCCAGGGCUCAACCCUGGAAAGCCGGUGGAUACUGCCGUGCUAGAGUGCGGGAGAGGCGAGUGGAAUUGCAGGUGUAGCGGUGAAAUGCGUAGAUAUCUGCAGGAACACCCGUGGCGAAGGCGGCUCGCUGGACCGCAACUGACGCUGAGGAACGAAAGCUAGGGGAGCAAACAGG
rnacentral:rRNA from 1 species